rnacentral:snRNA from 1 species
AUGCUCACUUUGGCAGCAUAUAUAGUAAAACUGGAGGAAUAGAGAAGACUGACAAAGCCACCACGCAAAAAUGACAUGAAAAUUCAUGAAGCAUUUGUAUUUAUU